ensembl:snRNA U6 U6 spliceosomal RNA
GCUUGCUUGCAUAGCACAGAGUAAAACUGGAAGGAAGUCAGAAAGAUUAGCACGGACCCUGCACAUGGAUGACGUGAAUUUGUGAAGCAUUCCAUAGUUCU